ACAAUUGGAUCGGUUUGUCCAAGGGUGGCCCGGUCACUCCUAGGGAAAGGGGUGAUGCCGGUGACAGUAUACGAAUCGCUGACGCUAAUGAUUGCAUUCGCGGGAUUCGUUGUCACAAUACUGGCUUUUUCACAAAAAAAAUAAUCCACCCUUGAGUAGUCGCUAAGGUGGAUUAACUGCCCCAAUGCCGGCCCCUUGCGAGAACCGCCUGUUGGAAGACCGGACAUGGUACCAGCAUGUUCG
rfam:Bacillus sp. B-jedd genome assembly, contig: CONTIG000001